UGUGCUCUCCUGCACCUGGCCGUUCCAGGAUUUUGGCGACGGAGCCUCGUCCCAGUAACUCAUCCAGCUUGGAGCGGGCCGGACGCACCUCCUCCUCUUCCGCCUUCUUUCCAUGCUUCUGGUCUCCUUUUUGGCCAUCACCAAAUCCCAGCACAUCCAUCAGGUCAUCAUCAUCAUCUUCAAACGUGAGCUCCUCCCUGCGCCGGGCUGGGGCUGUAGUGUGUAGGGGUGUCUGGGGUGGGAGUGGAUCUUUCUCUUUGCCCAGUUCUGUUUUCCUCUCUGGUCUUCUUUCACUGCCUUUUGGAGAUGGCUUCCUGGGAGCAUCCUGCUCCUCUUCAGAUAAAAGCCCAGCCAAAGGAUCAUCUACAUCUUCAAAGUUAAAUUUCC
rnacentral:lncRNA from 1 species